rnacentral:rRNA from 1 species
GUGGGGAAUAUUGCGCAAUGGGCGAAAGCCUGACGCAGCGACGCCGCGUGUGGGAUGACGGCCUUCGGGUUGUAAACCACUGUCGGGAGGGACGAAGCUCUGACGGUACCUCCAAAGGAAGCACCGGCUAACUCUGUGCCAGCAGCCGCGGUAAUACAGAGGGUGCGAGCGUUGUCCGGAAUCACUGGGCGUAAAGGGCGCGUAGGCGGCCUGAUAAGUAGGGGGUGAAAUUCUGCGGCUUAACCGCAGGACUGCCUUCUAAACUGUCGGGCUGGAGCACGGUAGAGGCAGAUGGAAUUCCCGGUGUAGCGGUGGAAUGCGUAGAGAUCGGGAAGAACAUCAGUGGCGAAGGCGGUCUGCUGGGCCGUUGCUGACGCUGAGGCGCGACAGCGUGGGGAGCAAACAGGAUUAGAAACCCGUGUAGUCC